rnacentral:rRNA from 1 species
CCUUGACAUACUAAGAACUUUCCAGAGAUGGAUUGGUGCCUUCGGGAACUUAGAUACAGGUGCUGCAUGGCUGUCGUCAGCUCGUGUCGUGAGAUGUUGGGUUAAGUCCCGNAACGAGCGCAACCUUUUCCUUAUUUGCCAGCGGGUCAUGCCGGGAACUUUAAGGAUACUGCCAGUGACAAACUGGAGGAAGGCGGGGACGACGUCAAGUCAUCAUGGCCCUUACGGCCAGGGCUACACACGUGCUACAAUGGUCGGUACAAAGGGUUGCUACCUCGCGAGAGGAUGCUAAUCUCAAAAAGCCGAUCGUAGUCCGGAUCGCAGUCUGCAACUCGACUGCGUGAAGUCGGAAUCGCUAGUAAUCGCGGAUCAGAAUGCCGCGGUGAAUACGUUCCCGGGCCUUGUACACACCGCCCGUCACACCAUGGGAGUUUGUUGCACCAGAAGUAGGUAGUCUAACCGCAAGGAGGACGCUUACCACGGUGUGGCCGAUGACUGGGGGUGAAGUCGUAACAAGGUAAGCGUAGAUGA